UAACACCAAAAUGAUCGCUGCAGGUGAAAUAUUCGUCAAACUCGUCGUUUUCGUCGUACUGUGUUUCGUCGUUUCGUUGAUCAUCGUACCGCGACUCGUGAUCAAAACGUGACGGAGCAGAAAAAUAUAAAACGGUGUGAUAAAAAAUAAUAUGUCAUCGUCGUACACGAUGGAUCGGCAGGACGCCUCGCCCGACGUCCUUGGGCCGCAGCUGAAAAGUCGGAGGAAUAUAAUAAUAAUUUCAGGACUGGCGUUAUUAUACAUCGCGAGAAGACGAUCAUCGCGCGCAGGCGUCCGAAACAUUAGUAGAAUUAAUAAGAUUAAGAAGUCGGAAGAUAUAAUAUAAUAAACCUAAAAAUUGUCAUUGAUACAUAGUUCAAAAACAAAACGAAAAUAUAUUUUUAGUAUCAUUGUUUUUAUUUUUAGAACUAAGAGAAAUACAAUUAAAUACAUUUUUUUUUAAA